AGCGAACGCUGGCGGCGUGCCUAACACAUGCAAGUCGAGCGGUAACAGGUGUAGCAAUACAUGCUGACGAGCGGCGAACGGGUGAGUAAUGCUUCGGAAUCUGCCCAUGUAGUGGGGAAUAACCAGCCGAAAGGUUGGCUAAUACCGCAUACGACCCUUGCCCACAAGGCAAAGGUGAAAGCAGGGGAUCGCAAGACCUUGCGCUAUUGGAUGAGCCGAAGUCGGAUUAGCUAGUUGGUAGGGUAACGGCCUACCAAGGCGACGAUCCGUAGCUGGUCUGAGAGGACGACCAGCCACACUGGGACUGAGACACGGCCCAGACUCCUACGGGAGGCAGCAGUGGGGAAUAUUGGACAAUGGGGCAACCCUGAUCCAGCGACGCCGCGUGUGUGAAGAAGGCCUGCGGGUUGUAAA
rnacentral:rRNA from 1 species